rnacentral:rRNA from 1 species
UAAGACGAACUGUCCUAACGUUGUUCGGAAUCACUGGGCUUAAAGGGCGCGUAGGCGGUCGAUCAAGUCAGGGGUGAAAUCCUGCAGCUUAACUGUAGAAGUGCCUCUGAUACUGAUCGUCUGGAGGGAGAUAGGGGUGUGCGGAACUUCCAGUGGAGCGGUGAAAUGCGUUGAUAUUGGAAGGAACGCCGGAGGCGAAAGCGGCGCACUGGAUCUCUACUGACGCUGAGGCGCGAAAGCCAGGGGAGCAAACGGGAUUAGAUACCCCGGUAGUCCUGGCCCUAAACGAUGGGUACUAGAUUGUAGACUGAUCAUGGGUUUACAGUCGAAGCAAAAGUGUUAAGUACCCCGCCUGGGGAGUAUGGUCGCAAGGCUG